rnacentral:rRNA from 1 species
AUGAACGCUAGCUACAGGCUUAACACAUGCAAGUCGAGGGGCAGCAUUUUAGUUUGCUUGCAAACUAAAGAUGGCGACCGGCGCACGGGUGAGUAACACGUAUCCAACCUGCCGAUAACUCGGGGAUAGCCUUUCGAAAGAAAGAUUAAUAUCCGAUAGUAUAUUAAAACCGCAUGGUUUUACUAUUAAAGAAUUUCGGUUAUCGAUGGGGAUGCGUUCCAUUAGUUUGUUGGCGGGGUAACGGCCCACCAAGACUACGAUGGAUAGGGGUUCUGAGAGGAAGGUCCCCCACAUUGGAACUGAGACACGGUCCAAACUCCUACGGGAGGCAGCAGUGAGGAAUAUUGGUCAAUGGACGAGAGUCUGAACCAGCCAAGUAGCGUGAAGGAUGACUGCCCUAUGGGUUGUAAACUUCUUUUAUAUGGGAAUAAAGUAUUCCACGUGUGGAAUUUUGUAUGUACCAUAUGAAUAAGGAUCGGCUAACUCCGUGCCAGCAGCCGCGGUAAUACGGAGGAUCCGAGCGUUAUCCGGAUUUAUUGGGUUUAAAGGGAGCGUAGGUGGAUUGUUAAGUCAGUUGUGAAAGUUUGCGGCUCAACCGUAAAAUUGCAGUUGAAACUGGCAGUCUUGAGUACAGUAGAGGUGGGCGGAAUUCGUGGUGUAGCGGUGAAAUGCUUAGAUAUCACGAAGAACUCCGAUUGCGAAGGCAGCUCACUAGACUGCAACUGACACUGAUGCUCGAAAGUGUGGGUAUCAAACAGGAUUAGAUACCCUGGUAGUCCACACAGUAAACGAUGAAUACUCGCUGUUUGCGAUAUACAGUAAGCGGCCAAGCGAAAGCAUUAAGUAUUCCACCUGGGGAGUACGCCGGCAACGGUGAAACUCAAAGGAAUUGACGGGGGCCCGCACAAGCAGUGGAGUAUGUGGUUUAAUUCGAAGCAACGCGAAGAACCUUACCAGGUCUUGACAUCCCGAUGCCCGCUCUAGAGAUAGAGUUUUACUUCGGUACAUCGGUGACAGGUGGUGCAUGGUUGUCGUCAGCUCGUGUCGUGAGAUGUUGGGUUAAGUCCCGCAACGAGCGCAACCCUUAUCCUUUGUUGCCAGCGGUCCGGCCGGGAACUCAAAGGAGACUGCCAGUGAUAAACUGGAGGAAGGUGGGGAUGACGUCAAAUCAGCACGGCCCUUACGUCCGGGGCUACACACGUGUUACAAUGGGGGGUACAGAAGGCAGCUACCUGGCGACAGGAUGCUAAUCCCAAAAACCUCUCUCAGUUCGGAUCGAAGUCUGCAACCCGACUUCGUGAAGCUGGAUUCGCUAGUAAUCGCGCAUCAGCCAUGGCGCGGUGAAUACGUUCCCGGGCCUUGUACACACCGCCCGUCAAGCCAUGAAAGCCGGGGGUACCUGAAGUACGUAACCGCAAGGAGCGUCCUAGGGUAAAACUGGUAAUUGGGGCU